rnacentral:miRNA from 1 species
AUAUGUAACGUUUUUGUUGUCUU